UGCGUAUGUGUGAGUGUGUGUGCAAAGUAGACGGCGAGCGCAUAUUUUCAUUGUCCGUCAAAUUUCUUUUUAAAAUUUCUUCAAGAUAAUUAAAAUUUUGAAAUUUCAAAACUUCUUCAUAAAAUACAAUUUCCAUUAGCGCAAGGGAGCGAAAGUUCAAUAUAGAAAGGAACUUGGGGUAAUGAAAGAUUUCUAAAGUGUUUUUAUGUAAAUUCAUGAUGAAGCAACAGUGACUCGGUGUUAAGCCAAGAAGCAGUGCGUGAAAGAAUACAUACAUAUGAGCAACAAGAAGGCCGAAAUAAGUGAAACAAGUAAAAAUUUAAUUCAAUUUCUUGGUGCUAUAUACGUGAAAUCGACGCAGGUUAGCGUGAAUAGAAGUUAAUGUGAAUUGAAAAUUAAUUAUUUAUUCGAAGCAUUUUCGCAAAAAGAAUUAACGAGCAGAAGCCAAUCAGUUUAAUACCUAAAUGCUAUGUGUGACUUAACAGUGGAAACAUUCGAGUUAGUGUGCCUUAAGUUAAGCGGUAGACGUAAUCUACUAGUUGUGAAAGUUCCAAUGUAGAUGAUGUAGAUGCUACCAAAUAUGAGGGGAAUUUCUGAUCGACAUACCAAUUGAAAACGCAGUUACGACAAAGAAUUCUGCAGUUAGUUUUGCUCGGAAGUUGGAUUCCGCAAGUGGUUUCCGCCGCGUAACUGCAACGCAUCGCGUACGUCGCUUCUGUUUUACUUGUAUUUAGCAACGUCUCGUGACCUCAUCAGAUCGCCGCCAACGUCUGCAACACCUUCCGACUAACCUACCAACAUUUGAACAAGUAAUAUUCAAACAUACCUUUGUAUAGGCAGCCCGACAAGCAAGCACAAAGCCGUGGCGCACUUGGGAUUUGCCGUUGUUCGCGAUUCGGUUUUAUUUACCUCAAUUUUUAUGUAUUUAUAUUACCCACGUCUUACGUAUGGCUGUAGUAUAGCUUGUUCGUCUCGCUUCUCGUCCAUGGCUUGCUUGCCUUUCUGCCUGACAGAAUGAAUGGUUACUUGGUUGGUCUGUCGCGUUGUUGGUUGGCUAACUGAGUGGCCCACCGACUUACGGCUUUUGCCUCUUGUCUCUGUUACAGUAUUGUCUUCCGUUUGUUUCAACUCCGCUCGACUGUGCUUCGUAAUUCUACAGUUGAACUGCUGAGCUUGCAGGCAUAAUUUGGCUAUCAGCUCGGUACAAAAUUUUAAAGUUAAAAUUACGCGAUAUAUUUUAUAGUCCUUUGAAAGUUCGCAACGCCAACGAAAAGAGCUUAAAAACUGGCUUGUUACCCACCCGGCGUAAAUUCAAAUAGUGUAACCAACUACACGUGAGGAACACAAAAAGAAAUUAAAGCAAAUAGUACAAUUACAUAUGUACAUACAUAUAUAUAUACAAACUGAACCGAAUAAACAACAAUAACGACUAUUGUAGUCAAAAAAGCAGGAACGUGGAGCAUUGAAACAUUUUUUACUUAUCUAAAACUAAAAAAAAUAGACCUCAAAGCUGAACGAAGAGUUUUAUCAUUUGAAAGGUAGACUUACACACGCGUACUUAAGACCAGGUGCUUGCAAAGCGACGUAUCGAAGGAGGAGAAUCAAACGUUGCAAUAUUACAAACUCUUCAACAACAAACAAGUAUUCAAAAGUUAAGACACACUUCCAGCUGGGGAGGGAUAAGAAAAAAUUCGGUAUGCAGUAAGGGCAAAGUCACGACCAUUAAACGAAUUGGGAACGACAAUAAUAAGAAAAAAGUAACAAAAGCACAGUCAUAAAAGUUGUGACUACAUAGGAAGUGCACCGGAGAAACGCAUCGAAUUGUCUUGAAAGUGCCAAAAAUCACGCUAAGCUCUAGCGACUAAACGCCGGCUUAAGUGGGCAAAGGUUGUACUCAACAAUAAGCAGACUAAUUCCAUUGUGAUUGGAUACCAGCACGAAAAUUUGUCAUCAGUUGUUUUAUGUAAACAAUAGACUAGAGGGAGACAGCGACCUACAUAUGUACAUAAAUAUGUAUAUAGCAUAAGCAGCUCACAAGCAGCAUGCCCUAAAUCAGAUUAUUUGUUUGCUAAAAAAAUGUUUGUAUAUUCUUAGUGUGCCACUAAAAGUACAAUUGUUGUGGUGUGGAAGAAAUUUCCACCACAGUGAUAGUGGCUACUUGUGUCUGAACUUUAGCGUGCUCUGCAUCGUGUUGCGGAAGUGUGCUCUGUGCGGACAACUUUGUUUUAAUGACGCUGCUGCCCGCAUCACCCACAUCAUUGACGUUGUUUGAAAAAAUAUAUAUAUUUAAAUCGGCAUUCACUGCCGCCGAGUGGCAGCUCAAUACAAAAAACUCUCGACUGAUGCUACUAUGCGGUGGAGCACAGCGAAAACGAUAAAUAAGAGCAGCAUUUACAACAACGA